rnacentral:rRNA from 1 species
CUAAUACAUGCAGUCGAGCGGGCAACAAUGUCAGCGGCAGACGGGUGCGUAACGCGUAUGCAACCUACCCUUAUCGGGGGAUAACUUCGCGAAAGCGAAGCUAAUACCGUAUGAGGUUGCGGGGAGGCAUUUCCUGCGAUGAAACUUUCGGGGAUAUAGGAUGGGCAUGCGUCUGAUUAGCUAGUUGGUCGGUAACGGCGUACCAAGGCGACGAUCAGUAGGGGAACUGAGAGGUUGAUCCCCCACACGGCACUGAGACACGGGCCAGACUCCUACGGGAGGCAGCAGUAGGGAAUAUUGGGCAAUGUCGAAAGACUGACCCAGCCAUGCCGCGUGCAGGAGGAAGGCCCUCUGGGUUGUAAACUGUUUAGCAAGGGAAGAAAAAGCUCCUGCGGGAGAAAUUGACGGUACCUUGAGAAUAAGCACGGCUAACUACGUGCCAGCAGCCGCGGUAAUACGUAGGGUGCGAGCGUUGUCCGGAUUUUUGGGUUUAAAGGGUGCGUAGGCGGCGAAUUAAGUCAGUGUUUAAAUUUUGCGGCUCAGCGUAAGUAUGGCAUUGAUACUGGUUUGCUUGAGGGUAGCGGAGGUAGCUGGAAUUUAUGUGUAGCGGUGAAAUGCAUAGAUACCAUAAGGAACACCGAUAGCGGAGGCAGGUUACCACCUAUACCUGACGCUGAGGCACGAAAGCGUGGGGAUCAAACAGGAUUAGAUACCCUGGUAUCCACGCUGUAAACGAUGAUUACUAGAUGCUGGUAUGCAUAUAUCAGUGUUCAAGCGAAGCGAUAAGUAAUCCACCUGGGGAGUACGACCGCAAGGUUGAAACUCAAAUGAAUUGACGGG